rnacentral:lncRNA from 1 species
ACUCGUGACCUCGCCAGCUCUCAGCUCCCUCGGGCGAUUUCGUGCACGCUAAUGUGCGCCUCUGUGUUUUCCUAAAUGCUGGUUUCUUCAUCAAGCGGCGGAAUAACGCAUCAGGGCAGGUGACCCACGUCACCGGGGUGAUGCACUGGUGCUCGCCGGGGCGGGCGCUGUGCCUGCGGGAGCCGCGCGGCCGGCGCGGUGUCGGGGCGCCUCGUGGGGGCCGAGCCGCGCCCGCACGUCCCUCAGGUAGGCGCGACCAGAGUUUCUUUAGACAGGAUGACCUGGCAGCGUUUCCACCCCACCCACGGCGAGUUUCGCUUUCCUAAUGUGGUUAAAAAGUGCGUUCUAUCUGAAAUAGGGUGGUUGAACAGGUUUCAACAUUUUACUUAAUUUUUUGUUUGUUUUAGAUUUCUUCCUUCUGGUGGGUCUCUUUCUUUUUCUGUCAAGAAGAUGUUCAUAACUGUCCUCUUUGGCAUUUGUUCAAAGUCCAGUUCUAAUAGCUUUUGGACUGUGGUUUAAUUUUAACCAUAAAGCAUUCUUUUGGAAUAAUUGCUUUUGAAUCUGGGAAGAGCCAGCUGGAUACAAGGCCAUAAACACCCCCCUGCGGGGAAUGUACAGGCUUUAAGUUACGUUUUUUUACCACUAGCAUUUCUCUUUAUCUUUUUUCUUUUUUUGGAGACAGGGUCUGGCUCUGUUGCCCAGGCUGGAGUUCAGUGGUACAAUCAGAGCUCACUGCAGCCUCAUCCUCCUGGGCUCCAGCGAUCCUCCCAUCUCAGCCUCCCGAGUAGCUAGCUGGGACCACAGGCACGCAUCACUGGCUAAUUUUUUUUUUUUUUUUUAGAGACAGGGUGUUGCUAUGUUGCCCAGGCUGAUCUCAAACUCCUGGUCUCAAGUGAUCCUCCUGCCUCAGCCUCCCAAAGUGCUGGAAUUACAGGCCUGAGCCACCAUGCCUGGCCUAGCAUAUCUCUUUUUUUAAAAAAAGGAGACUGAUGGGGGUUGGGGGGAUGCAAAUUGUGAGUAGAUAGGUGGGAUUGGAGGAGAGUUUGAACAUCUGCUUUAAUCAACUAAAUGGUGUCUUAGAGCUGUCCUGCGGGCAACCAUGUGGCCUCAGAUUUCUGGGACAAUCUCAAUUUCUGGGACAGAGGACUGGCCCACUGGCCCUUUGUUAGGCUACGCAUCAGACCACCACCAAUUUCCAGUUCUGAAAUUGUGGUCACCAGAGAGACCUAUCAGCAGCCAUAGACAUUAUCUCCUUCGGAAUGACUGGACCCAGGCAGCCAGGCAGAGCUGGGGUCCCCAGAGCUCCUGGCACUAGCCGGAAUAUUUCCAGUUCCUCUUCUUCCCUUACAGCACAAGUCCUUUGGUAAUCAUUGCUCAUAUUUGUAGAACCUUAGAGAAUUUUGGAUGUAGCAGGACAGAAAUUGGUUGCCUGCCAUUUUGUGGCUUGGGUGGCAUACAUCUUGUUUGGCAAUUAAAAAAAAAAGAUGAGAAGAAAAUGGGAUAUGCAAUGGAGACCAAUUCAAGAAAAAGUGAUUUAUGCCAGUCCUAGCUGAGGCAGAUGAAUUUGGGAAGACUUACUUGUUUUCUAGAAAUAGUCUUCACUUGACCAGAGAUUCAUACUUGGGCGUAUUUAAAUACAGAGCUCUUCUGGAGCAUUUGACUAGAAGGACAGAAAACCAGAGACUAAUUAACCAGUUGUUACCAGCGGGAAAUCCGUUUUUGUUUGUUUGUUUGUUUGUUUGUUUUCUUUUUGAGGCGGAGUCUCGCUCUGUCGCCAGGCUGCAGUGGAGUGGCGUGAUUUUGGCUCACUGUGCAAUCUCUGCCUCCUGGGUUCAAACCAUUCUCCUGCCUCAGCCUUCCAAGUAGCUGGGAUUACAGGUGCACUCCACCACACCCAGCUAAUUUUUGU